rnacentral:ncRNA from 1 species
CAAAUAGAAAAGAAUAAGAUGACAUUUAUAGUUAAUACAUAUUGGUGGUGGUGCCGCUUGCAACUCAAAAGGUCGUAAGGGAACUAAGCCAUAUGUAUAUACAUAGGAAAUAAUGAUAUACCAAAAAGGGCUGUC